GAUGAACGCUGGCGGCGUGCCUAAUACAUGCAAGUAGAACGCUGAAGGAAGGAGCUUGCUCUUUCCGGAUGAGUUGCGAACGGGUGAGUAACGCGUAGGUAACCUGCCUGGUAGCGGGGGAUAACUAUUGGAAACGAUAGCUAAUACCGCAUAACAGUAGAUGUUGCAUGACAACUAUUUGAAAGGGGCAAUUGCUCCACUACCAGAUGGACCUGCGUUGUAUUAGCUAGUUGGUGAGGUAACGGCUCACCAAGGCGACGAUACAUAGCCGACCUGAGAGGGUGAUCGGCCACACUGGGACUGAGACACGGCCCAGACUCCUACGGGAGGCAGCAGUAGGGAAUAUUCGGCAAUGGACGGAAGUCUGACCGAGCAACGCCGCGUGAGUGAAGAAGGUUUUCGGAUCGUAAAGCUCUGUUGUAAGAGAAGAACGAGUGUGAGAGUGGAAAGUUCACACUGUGACGGUAUCUAACCAGAAAGGGACGGCUAACUACGUG
rnacentral:rRNA from 1 species